CAAUCUUGUGAAAGGAGUAUAAACCACAGUGUAAUCCUGAAGACUGGCUAGGCAUUCACUGGGUGGAAAAGUUUGGGGAGGCAAAUUCGGGGAAAGAGAAGCUGAUGGGCUUGGUUGCAGUCUUUUCAGUGAAGGUGACAUGCUCAGGUUUUGUGUCCUAAGCACAGGAGUCAUAUAGCAUCAAGCCCGGUCACCCAUGGGUCUGAUGCAUCCUGCAGCUGCGAUGUGAUAAAUUGCCAACGUGAGGCCCAGUCUGAGAAAUCUGACCCUAGUUAGAGUCCCCCAAAAUGAAUCUUUAAUUUACCUUCACAGAUGGUGUUAUUAAAGGAAUGAGUAAGCCAGUAAUUAUUAUUCAGUACUUCUGAUGUGACAGUUUAUUAGUUGCUUUUACUUAAAGUCUGCCUUAACGUAAAGUCUAAAUAUACCAUAACAUCUGACAUUGACUCGAAAUUACACAGAUUUUGCUUCACUGUUUUUCACACACAUAUGAAAAGAUAAAAGGGGAACAGAUUGACAAGAACAUAAUAGAAUUUAUACAUUAACCAAAUAGAGAGUGAGACUUCCUAAAUGCUUCCUGCGGCGUGUUGCCAUUAUUCAAAUGUCUUGGGGAUUCUCCUUUUGAGCCUUCCUCCAGAGUCUGUGCUACACUUUACUUUUAAAAUCAUUGAUGACAAAUCUCCAUCUGCUGAAGGUCGGUCUCCUUCUAUGAAGCUGCCAAAAGUCCUUUGGCAUUAAUAUGUGGGUCAGUUGGUAAAUGACUCUGAAAUCAAGAAGCAAUUUUCUUAUGAACACUGGAAAUGGUUUGUAAUGAUAAUUCCCAAAGGGUUAUUCCAAAAAUGACCUCAACCCUAGUAGCAUUCCUUCAUUCAUUCAGUCAUUCAGUGAAAUAAGUCAUUUAGGAAACUAAGAUCCAGGGGAUCUUCUCGGCCCAAGGAUCAAACCCACAUUUCCUGAGUCUCCUGCAUUGGCAGGUGGACUCUUUAUCACUGAGCCACCUGAGAAGUCCAUUUUAUAUAUACAGCACAAUGAGCAAAUUAAAUUAUUCUUUUUACUGAAGUAUAGUUGGCUCAGAAUGUUACAUUAGUUUUAAGUGUAAAACAUAGUGAUUUGAUGUUUUUAAUAGAUUAUGCAUCCUAAAGAGUUAUUAUAAUAUCACUGAUUACAUUCCUUACACUGUACAUUACAUCUCUGUCACUUAUUUUGUGGUGUUCUUUUACAGUCCUUUCUAAUUUUUAAAAACCCACAUUAUGCUUUUAAGCAAAUGCCUCCAUUAUAUCAGAAAUAUCAACUGACAGAUAACAGUAGGUACAUUAUUUAAUUAUCGGGGAUUCAAUCUUUAAACCAAUGAGCGUCCUUUAUACCUUGUCAACACUCAGCCAUCACAUGACCACAUGAGAUAGUGAAAAAAAAGUGCUUUAAAAUAGAUACAGUAUGCUAUGUAUCAUACUUUCUCUACUUUCUCUUCUUUAACCUUGCUAAUAAUUACAAAUUAUAUUGUCAGGCAGAGGGAGAUAUAGUCUUCUAAAUUGAUGUAUUGAUCCCUUGAGUAAGACUGGAUCAAAGCUACACCUAAGUGUUGUUUCAGAUUACUUGAAAAGUUAUAGUUUGUUCACUGUAUUAUUUUGUCUACAUGAUCUCAAAUAAUUUUAACUAAAUCAGUUGAUACUAUUUAAGUCAUAUCUUAAAUUCUUAUUAAAUAAUUGACCGUUUUUACAAUCUCACACAUUGCAACAGGGAUCUAUAUAGUCAGGUAGUUUAGUCUGCAAUUNNNNNNNNNNNNNNNNNNNNNNNNNNNNNNNNNNNNNNNNNNNNNNNNNNNNNNNNNNNNNNNNNNNNNNNNNNNNNNNNNNNNNNNNNNNNNNNNNNNUCAGGUAGUUUAGUCUGCAAUUUAAUGGCAUAUAAAUAUUGAGAACAAAAUCAUUAGAAACUUCAGACAUGUCACCAUAAACCAGAACACCAAUACAUGUCAUUCCCAUUGGGAAAGUGUUUCCAAAUUUGAUAUUGAAUGCUUCUUCCUUCAGAAAAAUUGGCUCUAGUUUUUCAUCUUGCUUUAAAUGUAAGUCUGUAUUGAUAAAUGAAAGCAUUUUUUUCACAAUUUUGUAGUAAGUUGCUGAUACAUACUAAUGAGGCAGUUCUGGAGCUCCUGUGAAGCUUUGUAAAGAAUUGAAAAUAUUCCUGGAAUUUAUAUUUGUACUAGGAAGGCCAGAGCUUACUCUAGCCAAGAGCUAAUGUUUUGAUUAAAAUUUGACCAGGUGAUAACAGAUUUACUCCUUUCUCCACUUGAAGUUUCACUUAAAACGUCUUAAGGUCAAAUAUGGGAAAUGUAUCUGAACUAGAUAUCUUGGGUAGUGAUUGUGUCAAACCGAAGAAUGCCUGCCCCAUCCAGAGGACGUAGCUGAUACUCUGCUUCAGUUUAAUUCACCAUCUAGGAAGAGAGCUUCCAUGUCCUAGGCCUUAUACAUUUUCAAAAGAAGCCCAAAGCUCAACUUGAAUGUG
rnacentral:lncRNA from 1 species